CUUCGGCGGGAGGGUCUCCGCGACCCUCCCGGCCUCCCGCCUCCGGGCGGGUCGGCGCCCGCCGGAGGAUAACCAAACUCUGAUUUAACGACGUUUCUUCUGAGUGGUACAAGCAAAUAAUCAAAACUUUUAACAACGGAUCUCUUGGUUCUGGCAUCGAUGAAGAACGCAGCGAAAUGCGAUAAGUAAUGUGAAUUGCAGAAUUCAGUGAAUCAUCGAAUCUUUGAACGCACAUUGCGCCCGCCAGCAUUCUGGCGGGCAUGCCUGUUCGAGCGUCAUUUCAACCCUCAAGCUCUGCUUGGUGUUGGGGCCCUACAGCUGAUGUAGGCCCUCAAAGGUAGUGGCGGACCCUCCCGGAGCCUCCUUUGCGUAGUAACUUUACGUCUCGCACUGGGAUCCGGAGGGACUCUUGCCGUAAAACCCCCCAAUUUUCCAAAGGUUGACCUCGGAUCAGGUAGGAAUACCCGCUGAACU
rnacentral:rRNA from 2 species